GUGCAGCAGAGGGAGUGGAUGUUGACUUCAGCAUCCCGGAUCCUUUGCCAGGCAAGUCCGCUCACGAAGCCAUGAGCAGAGGGGCUCUGCUAUCUCCAGGGCCAGAACUCCUGCCACACAGGUACGUCCCUAAUCAGAACAAGUGAGGCAGUGUGGAUUCCUGAGUUGGGAUAUUUCAUGCCCAAGAAGUAAGUCAUUGAGUCCACGGGCACAUGCAUUUCCUUCUGUGAAUAGCUCUGACCCUUCCAUCCAUGAGCUCCAUUGCUGUCUUCUGCAAAACUCUUCCUUGCUGAGUCCUUUCCUUUUAUAUCAUGCCUGUUUCUUCAAAUAUCUUGUUAACCAAAAUUUCCUUCUCACUCUCCAUGUCAUGCGUACCUACCUGUACUGGCUUGAAGCAUUUAUUCUUUACUCAAAAUCAUAAUGAACAAGAUAUUUACUAGUAUACUUGGUUGCAACAUCAUGUCUUUUUACAUACAGAACUCUUUACAAGUACUUCCCUGUCUAUAUUAUCAAAUUUGACAGUGUGCCCCUGUUUUGGAAAAUGGCAGCUAACAUUUAUGAGUGCCUCCCAUGUGCCAUGGCACUAUUCUAAAUGUAGUAUGUGGGGCAACUCAUUGAAUCUUCGUAGUAAUCCAUUAAAAUGGCAGGAUUAUACCUAUUUUGCAGAUGGAGAAACUGAGGCCUAAGGAGGUUCAGGGCCAUCCUCCAGGUCACAUGACUAGAACGUCAUACAGCUGGAGGGCUGGUGAGACCAGCGUAUUUCUCCAAAAUAAGCCCGUGAAAGCAUCCUCUGACUCCUGACAAGGCCCAGUGGAGCGGCUCUACCACUUGGAGCAUCAAGCCUCUUCCUCCCUUGAAGAAUGUGCCUCAUGUUCCUACCCACAGGCUUGGACCUGGGGUGCUCCGUGUGUGGCCUGCCCCUGGAUUCUUUGUCUCCACAGGUAGCAUGAGCUCCUGCAGGUAGGCCAGCAGCUGGACAGGUUGGUUUUUGACUGGGGGGUGACCGGAUGACGAGCAUCUGAAAGUUGCAGUGAAAUUACCCGUUGGCUAGAGGUGAGAAUUCCAUCACUGCCCUCCAUUUCUGUUCUGGGAAGGUGGGUAGUCUGGUGGCAGGGAGACGAUCUUGUAACACAUGCCCGCCCAGUUCUACCUGAAUGUGAGAUGUACUGGGUGGCAGUGGAGAGGUGGAUAUACCUCGAACGUGUUGCGUAGAGCCCCCUGGAAGCAGCUCAGUAAAGGCUCCAGUUCUGAGGUGAAGUGUCUGGGCGGACACUGGAGGCUGAAGCUGCCCUUACCUAACUUUGGUGAGUAUAUUCAGAAUGUUCCAGAGCAGUGGUCCCGGACCUGCAGCAUCACCAUAGCCUGGGAGCUUUCUAGAACCACAACUUCUGGGCUCCUCCCCAGCCCUGCAGCUUCAGAAACUCUAGGGUUGGGCUCCAGAAAUCUAAGCUCUAACAAGCUCUCCAGGUGAUUCUGGUGCAGGCUCAAGUUUGAGAACCACUGGUCCAGAGCAAGAACUGGAUUUUAUAGUUCUUAUUGUAAAAUCAGAAAUUCAAAAUAUUUUAUUAUUUCACUUAUUACGGACUUAUGAUAGAAAUCCUACAAUGUGCUUUUAGGAAAAUUAGGAAUAGCAAAAGGAAAAGUUAACAAAAUUGCCCACAAAUCUUCUCUCUUAGCAGGAGAAAAGCAUGAUUAGGGUUUUGGUGUGUUUCUCUUUAGCCCGUUUCCUGCAAAAAUCCUAAUAAAGUUAUCACUAGUUUGCCUUCAUUUGGGUGAGUUAAUGUGAGAAUCACCUCCUGGAUUCAGGCGAGAAGAGG